GUGCAAGGAUUUUUGCCGCCCUAGGCAAAAGUAAAGUUUGCCGCACCCCCAUGUGACAUCACAAUGCCCCACCCAUAUGAUCUGCCAUGUUAACUAACACCAGUGCUGCCGUGUUUGCAUUAAAAGGCCUGCAGGGACAGGCUAGACACCAGAACCACUACAUUAAGCUGCAGUGGUUCUGGGGACUAUAGUGUCCCUUUAAUGUGAGGUAAAUUAUAGAUUAG